GUCGCCUCAGAGCUGCUCCUGUUUUGGGGGGAACGCGCUAGGAGCCCCGUGGAGCGGCGCCUUGGCGGGCGGGCAGGUGGGCUGGAGAGAGGGCAGCGCCCCGCUUCUCCCCCACCUCGCGCCCCGCUCCGAACUGGGCGGCAUCUCCGCGAAACUGACGGGGGCAGCCCAGCGAGGCAGAAGCCCCUCAGGUAAGCGGGGUGGCGGGAGGUUAUUGCGCGCGCACGCGUGUGCAGAAAGCGAGGUGUGUUUGGUUGGGAUACGAGGGGCGAGUUCUUUCCCUUCCUUAAAAAGAUGUUUCAGUCCCCGUCUUGCUCGGAGCCCCCACCGAGCUGGCCGACGACAAAUCCCAGCAGCGACGGGAGUUUGGUUUUUGUGCUCUCCCGCCCGCCAGAUCAACCACGUCUGCAGGCAGCUUGCCGACCACCAUGCUCCCCCCUCCCCUCCUCCCUCUCUUGCCUCCUCUUUAGUGGCGCUGAACUUGCCCUGCUGCUGCUCCUGGAUUUCAUAAGAGAAUAUUGAAUUUCUGAGGAAAGGAGGGAGGGGGGCGAUGGCAUGAGGGAGAAGCCGAUUGUUAAUGCCUCUGCGGGCGGGCGCGCGUUCUUCUCCCUCUCCACCCGCCCGGCUCCCCUCCUUCCCCCUGGGAGGAGAGAGAGAGAAACGGGGAUGUUAUGGAGAGCGAUGGGCUGACAGAAGGCUGCUGCUGCCAAGAGCCGAGGCUGUUUUGAAAACAUCGCCACCCGGCGCUCCAGGCGGCGGCUCUCUAGCCAUAUGCCUGGAGUGACGCUUCCUCUGGUUGGCAACUGCUGGCUAGCAAAGCGGCAACCUGCCUCGCCUCGGCCUGCUCCGAGUGGGAAUACUCCACGCACAAGCACAAACACGCGCACCCUCGUUGUGGGAACGCUGCAUCCCCAGUCGAGGCUGCAUCAGGUUGGAGGGAGGCGCUCGUGGGAAAUCUUUUGGCAGCGGCCCAGCGCAAUGACUGAAGAGGUUAUCGAAAACAAGCUGGCUUAGAGAGUUGAAAAAAAGAGUGAGGAAGUAUGUUAGCCAAAGGGAGCUGACAGGAAGUGCGACCCCUUGAUUUCUCCGUUCCUUUCCUCUUCCUAAUCACCUUCCUCCCCACCCUUCUCUUCUUCACAAUUACUUCUCCUAAGUUUCUUAAUUUUCACUGAUACUCAAAUGCCGCAGUACCUAGCUUUUUUCUGCUUCGCAAAUUUCACUGCCCCCUCUUCUGCAAAGUCAGCUCCUCUGGAACCUGGGCUGCAAUUCUUGCUAACACUUGACAGAAUAGGCAGCUUGACUGAAGAGAGUGAUUCAGCACCGGAGGUGACCCGAGGGCAGCUGAUAGCAGAGCGGAGGAGGCGUGGCAGUGGAUGUGCUGGACUGUUUUCUUGCCUUGGCAAUGGACUGAAUGAACAAAACAGCAGAGAGAUCUGAAGAGAUGGACCAUGACUGCAGAGACAAAGCCACCAAGCCUGGAUUUGGAGAUAAUGAUUCAGGCUGGAUUUUUGCCAGGAAGUUGCAAUGCAUCUGAGUUUUCAAGGUCGAAAGUCAGGUGCUCUAUAUAAUUAAGCAAACCGACAUUGUCAGCUAAUGCAAAGGGGAAAGCAUUGCUGUCAGCAGUCAUAUCAAAAGUGAACAGGACAGCACUGUCCCUCCUGUAAAGACGGUCCAUGGAGUACUUAAACUGAAGCGUACUUAACCUGAAGUGAACUUUCCCAUUGAAAGUAAUGGAAAGUGGAUUAAUCCGUUCCAGAUGGGUCCGCGGAGUACUUAACUGAAAGUACUCAAACCGAAGCGUACUUAAACCAAGAGAGCCAGGAACAGAAGGGCAACCCCCCAGUCCAGGCAGCUGUACAAUCCCUGCUAAACAUUGAAAAGCACCUCGUGAGUCUUGUUUCCUGGCAGAUUGGCAACACUGCAUUUGCACAGCGACCUACUUCUGGGCCCAGUAAAUACUGAACAGCCAGGCAUUUCAGAAGCUUUGAGCUAGUGAAUUGGAAUUUAGAAACAAUUACUCCAGGUCAGUCUUUGAGUUCCUUACUGCUAUGGCAUCGAAGAACCACACUGCUGGUUGUUGUAGACACUGAACUUCCCAGCAACCAUUGUAUGAAAAAAGGAAGGAAGAAAAGUCCACAAGAAACCAUGUGACGUUUCCAGUCCAAAUUUAUACUAUAUGUGGUGGUAUGUUGUUACUUCUUUGGCUACCUGUGCAUAUUGUAGAUUACAUGCCGACACAAAGUAUUUAUUGUACCAGCUGUAUUUCUAAAUCCUUGGGGAAUUUUUUUGUUCUGCUUGAAAUGAACAAUAACUGCACUGACGUCAGUAGAGCUAAGGCAUGCACACGUUCACGUGGGAAGUUCACAACCGUAUAGACAGCGCAACAAAAAUAAAAAUAUUUCCUGUUGCGGGAGUCAGUUUGUGAGGACUGAACUGCUCUUUUGUGUACCCUCCCUUAUCCACAUUUCCAUGACACUCAUGCAGCACUUCAAGUAUAAGGGUCCUAAUCCAGGCCACAGUAUCAGGUCAAGAGGUGCUCAGUGAGACUCACUGGCCACAUCGGAGCCUUGGCCAAUAAACCACAGUGGGCUUUGGGCUUGUAUGAGCCCCACUCCCAUGCACUCAGGAGGAAUGUGGAAGCUUUCCAUUUCUAGUUCAGAUUUACCACAACGUACCAUAUUCUUCAGACUUGACAAACUGGAAUUGUUUGUCACUUUGGCUCACUGAAACAAGGAACUUAAAACCAUAGGUUAUAAAUCUGAAUAUUCUAAUCAGCAUUAGCCACAGUUUAGGAUUCUGAUGCCUCAUCCUUGGAGCUAUUUUUUUUUAGCACGCAGGUGAGGAACCUUACUUUUGUGGGCCAAUUUUGCAUGGUUUUGUAUGGCCAAUUUGGCCCACCAGGGUGGUUUGGGUGUUUCCUACACAUGGCAUCAUACAGGUAAAGGUGGGGCUUGACUCAGCCAAAAGGGCACCCCUUGGCCAAAGCCUCCUUGUGCUUCUUCCAAAGAAUCUAAUAACAAACUGAUUGUCGGGAGCCUCUGAAGCGUUGCACAAAGCAGGAACCCAGCAAGGGCAACCUUGCUGGAUCUGGGCGUGCAAGAGAGCUCCCUGCAGGAAACCCUGUUGUGCACCCCUACCUGCUCAAUUUGGCUAAUUUUCUAAGUAUGCAGCAGGCAGCAAGGUGCUGCUAAAAGCAAGUUUCCCCCUUCAUUUCAGAAGCUGUUUCACUGCAAACAAAGGGGGAAAGCUUGCUUUUAGGAGUGCCUUUCCUUCCAGGCAUUUGGCAGUUCAAAGGAUAGAAAUGUCAUUUGUAACACCAAGAGAUUGACAGGUAGGUCACUUACCUGUCCAAAUUUGACCCACAAGACAUAUUUGGAAAAGGAUCUGGCCCAUGAAGCUAAAGACAUUCCCCAGCGCUGAUUUAGCAUGAUGCCCAAAUGUGGCCAGUUUCUGAUGAGGUAUUUAACAUUUGCAAAGAACUAAAAAAAUACACGGUCACCCACUUUAUAUCAACAUUAUUUUCUUUAAAAAAAGGCUCAGCAUAAAAUAAACUUUUCCUUAAAAUAAAACUAUUCCUGUUUUUUUAAAGAAAAAAACAACCCUGCAUAGUCAAAGAAUAACUAUAAUAAAAAAUCCAUUUGCAGGUAAAUAGCAGAGGGUCUUGGUACUUGCAGCAACUGGUGAAGUGCAUGCUGACUAUUUUUAGGUGAGAGGAGACCCUACUACAAUUCUUACACAAAAAAGGCACAACUAUUCAAUAGUUAUUACAGCAUAACUACUUUCUAAACUGGGGAAUUCAAAUUAUUUAUAAGGCUAAAGGGUGUGAGAAUGUAAUAGUGCAGCACUUUCAUUCCUGAGUCUCAAAAUAAAUUAAUAAAAUCUGUAACCAAACUAAAACUUUAGGCUUUAAAAGCAUAUAUCCCUUUCACGUUUUUGGUUUAUGUCCUUGUAUCUCUCUUCCUUAUCUGCAUUAAGCCUCAUUAUGAAACUAUAAAAAUACAAUUUCCACAGGAAGUAAACAAACAUAUGCACUGCAUUGAUACGGACAACUAGGAGGUACAACUAGUAUUAACUGAAGUAUACAAAGAAAGAAAAGGCAAGCUAGAUCAACACAGAUACUGGGCAAUAACCAUAAAUUCCUCUCCCAACAUCCAGAUAGUACUGUUAAUAAUGAUAGAUUGUAGAAGAGUAGGUUCUACUACCCUUAAAUAAUAUGGGCAUGGUGAAUUAAGGUAUACAGAAAUUUUGUUGCAUUCGUCAAAGAAAGAGAGUCGCAAUAAACUGAGCAAAAAGCUAAGCUUUGACAAGCUACCAUCAGGUAAUGAAUUAGUUACCAGUAAAAGCACUAGUACUUUAAAAUACAAACAAGAGUCUUUUGAGAGGGAAAAAGCUCUGUCUACUGUGAAGCAUAACCAGGACUCCACAGUCUGGUGGGAGAGCCAUUAAUGGUGCCUGAAGAUGAGGAACUGAAGGAAGUUGCAGAUCGAGCAGGAAAUCCUACAUUUAUAAACAAAAGGCAGAAUUAUUAUUCAUAUAUAUGAUAAAAAUGUUGCUAGAUUGUUUCAUGUUAAGGAUCUUCAUGGAGUCACAAAAACAUGAUUCAGGCUGCGGGGGAAGGAGAAGUGGGAGACAUCCCAUUGCACCCGUGAACCUCAUUAGGUGCACACAACUUAGUUGAAUCCUACCCUUUAUAUAUGAAAUUUUUAUCAAGCCAUUUUCAAUUCAGUGAAUAGGAUACUGGGAGAAGGUGGAGGUGGGGGGCAUUUUGAAAGUAGUGGCAGAGGUCAUUGUGGUCUUCAGUGUCAUAUGUGGCCAGUAUGGUUUUAAUGCCGCAGAACACAAAUAUUCAGUAUUACUUUUUAAAAAGUAUCCACUAUUCAUUUAAAAUCAUCUGUAGAGGAGGGAUGCAAGAUUACCAGCAUUUGCUGUUAUUGUCUUACUGCUGUGUAGAUUUUGUUUCAAAUAUAGUGGUACCUUGGUUCUCGAACAUAUUCCGUUCCGGAAGUCGGUUCAACUUCCGAAACAUUAAAAAAACAAGAAGCGGCUUCCGAUUGGUGCAGGCGCCCCAGAAACAAUAGCUGACAACUGCAUCAGACAUUCGGCUUCCAAAACACGUUCGAAAACCAGAACAUUUACGGUACUUCCAGGUUUUCGGCAUUCAAGAGCCAAUUUGUUCGUCAACUAAGCCGUUUGAGAACCAAGGUUCCACUGUAUUUUGACUUUUGAAAAUAAUUCCCCUAAUAUAAUGUGAGAUGGCUUCAGGGAUAUCUGCCUUGAGCUAUUGGCAGGAUGUAACUUUGUAAGACUGAACAUUAAAUAACAAUCUUGAGAACAAAUCAGGCACAAUGCCACGUCAACCAACUAUUCCGAACAAGUGUUCUACCAGCUAAGACCUAUUUCUCACAAAUAACACUUCAGAUUGCAGAUGGCCUGACAUGUCUGAAAACUCCUCCACAAAAACCCCCCAGCAACACUGCUCCAUACAGAACAUUAGCAUGUCAGGUAAAGGCUAGAUUAGAGUCCUUGUCCUGGUUUCCAUGGUGAGAGAAGUUGUUUUUUAUGGAAGAACAUGUGUAUACAAUCUGAAGUAGGAAAGCUCAGCCACAGUUUAUCAGGCCAUUGAGAACUAGCCUUAAGAUGACAAUAGGUAGAAAAGCAGCUGGGGACCUACAAAUAGCGGGUGGGGAAAAGGAUCAACAAUAUUUUUCCUCAAUACUAUUCUGCUCCCAACUGCAGCCUCUGGGGCUGCUUUUAACUACUGUAUACAGAUAGCAGCUGAAGAAAGUCUAUGAAUUUAGUGAAAAUGGAAACUUUCCCCCCAUUUCCAAAUGUUGUGUUCUGUAAUGAGAACCACUGCAACAGGUAGGGGCAACCUUUGACCCUCCAGACACUGUUGGACUCCAACUCCCAUCAUCCCUGACCAAUGGCCAUCCUGAUGGGAGUUGGAAUCCAAAAACACCCACAGCCACAAGUUCCCCACCCUGCUAUAUAAGAAAAAAGAGGGGCAAAACAUCUCUUUGGGGUUUAUCACGAGCUGAUUGACUUUCUUUGAAAGUUGUGCCAUUUUAAGAAGAAGAGAGGAUUUGGUUUAGUGUUACAGCUGCUCUUGUAGUUUCCUUUCAUAAGCACAGAACUAAAAUUAGUGUGCCCAUUGGCUCAGAGGAGCCACAAUUAAAUAAGAAACCUGUGUGAGGUGAUAAGAGUCAAAAUUGGCAAGUUUCAGUAUCCUGCAAAGUACAGUUAUGCCACUUGGCUCAGGCAGUCUACUCUGAGGGGAACACUCUCCCUUGCUGCAAUGUUUAUGCAGUACAAUAGUUCAAGCGAGAAAAGUUUGUUUCAAUUCAAAAUGGUGAAGAUCUGCUUACGUUGUCUAUGCUCAGGACUCGUCCUUGGGAGAAAAGCUGGGUGAGUGAGCUGCUCCUUUGGUGAGAAAACAGCAUAGUGCACUGAAAGACAUGGCAGAACAAAUGGGCAGAAAUUAAGUUGAAACCACACAAAAUAUGAAAACAUUAAGGGGGGAGGAAUGCUUCAGAACUCCUUGACACUUACCUAUUACUGUAACAGCCAUCCCUGCUAGUAGUGCAAAAAGUGUGAAAAACAUGGCUUGAUAGGAAUCAAGGAAGUGUUGGAAUAAGCUUGGUUCAUCUGAGGAUCAUAUUGAAAAGAAGAUAUAUGGGUAUCCAUGUUAUAAACAGACCUAACACCCUAAACUGUUUUUAAUGCGAUUGUGCUAUCUAUUUAAAUAACAUUAUUUGACUAUUUCAAAGCAACGUUUGGAAUGUGCAUGCCUGUGAUAGUUCAAAAAUAUAUUUAAAUGUCAAUAUUAAUUGCUUUCCAGAGCCCCUGAAAAUGUUAUACCAUUAUCCUUAAAAUACAGCUUUAAAGAAUUAUCAGUUAAGAGUAUGAUGCUGUGCUUCCUGAGAGAUCAAUGAGAACCCUUCCCCUGGAAGAGUGAGCUCUCACAGAUGCUCUCUAGCUGCUUGAUAGACACCCUCUGCUCAAGACGACCUGCCAUACCAAGCUGGACAGUCUUUUCUCCAAGUCACGUCAGCUAUGCAUUUCUUGUAUCUCUUUCUACUGGUGCCUAUAUGGAUUAUAGUUUAACAUCUGAAGCAGAGAACUAUGUAGAGCAUUAUUCUCUCCUGAUAUUCCCAAAGGUGUGUUAUGGUAUCAUAAAUCAUUUUUGGUCUUCAUUUGUUCAAGUCCCUUGCCAACUCUACCCUUCUGUAUUAAAAAUAGGGUAGCUAAAAUGCUAAUGGUAUUUCCCCCCACUCAAUUUAUGAAGCUGAAUAUGAGUAUUUGUUUCCUUUAAUGACUGCUUACAUUCUACUUCCCACCCUUGGGUAUAUUCACAUAAAGAUGAACUUCAAUUAAUUUGACUUCUAAUUUUAUUAGCUUACUAAUGUAACUAAUUAAAGGAGAAUUUGCACUGGGUGGCCUAGAUAACACCCACCUAAUUACAGGAAAUCAAAACAGUAACUAUGUGAAAUAUAUAUGCAGAAUAGUGUAGUGCACAGAUAAAAGCCCAAGCUGAUCUAAGUUAGUGCCUCCUUUGACUUCCUUUCAGUGGUCUCUUUUAAACUUAUUUUAAACUUUUCAUACAAAGAUUGACAAUAUGAUGGAUAUUGUCUUCAUACCCCAAAUUUCUGUUACUGCCUGAAAUCCCAUUCACUUUGAAUUUUUCAUUGCAGCUCAAAUGCUGCUGUUUAUUGGACUGCUGUGCGUGGUAUCCACAUUGGCUCAUGGAAACACGACAUUAACAAAUUGAAAAUACUGGUCAUGACUUACC